rnacentral:rRNA from 1 species
AGAGUUUGAUCAUGGCUCAGAACGAACGCUGGCGGCGUGGAUAAGACAUGCAAGUCGAACGCUCAUUUCAGGGUAGCAAUAUUCUGAAGUGGGAGUGGCGCAAGGGUGCGUAACACGUGGGUAAUCUGCCAUGAAGUUUGGGAUAACUCGCUGAAAGGCGAGCUAAUACCGGAUGUGAAAAUUGGAAGGCAUCUUUUGAUUUUCAAAGCUGGGGACCGUAAGGCCUGGCGCUUCCUGAUGAACCCGCGGCCUAUCAGCUAGUUGGUGAGGUAACGGCCCACCAAGGCUAAGACGGGUAGCUGGUCUGAGAGGACGACCAGCCACACUGGAACUGAGACACGGUCCAGACACCUACGGGUGGCAGCAGUCGAGAAUUUUUCACAAUGGGCGCAAGCCUGAUGGAGCGACGCCGCGUGGGGGAUGAAUGGCUUCGGCCCGUAAACCCCUGUCAUUUGCGAACAAACGUUAUUAUUUAAAAGAUGAUGACCUGAUUGUAGCGAAAGAGGAAGGGACGGCUAACUCUGUGCCAGCAGCCGCGGUAAUACAGAGGUCCCAAGCGUUGUUCGGAUUCACUGGGCGUAAAGGGUGCGUAGGUGGCGGGGUAAGUCGGAUGUGAAAUCUCCGAGCUCAACUCGGAAAUGGCAUUGGAAACUACCUUGCUCGAGGGUUGGAGGGGGGACUGGAAUACUUGGUGUAGCAGUGAAAUGCGUAGAUAUCAAGUGGAACACCAGUGGCGAAGGCGAGUCCCUGGACAACUCCUGACACUGAGGCACGAAAGCUAGGGGAGCAAACAGGAUUAGAUACCCUAGUAGUCC